UACGGGGGGGGCAAGCGUUGUUCGGAAUUACUGGGCGUAAAGGGCUCGUAGGCGGCCAACUAAGUCAUACGUGAAAUCCCUCGGCUUAACCGGGGAACUGCGUCUGAUACUGGAUGGCUUGAGUUCGGGAGAGGGAUGCGGAAUUCCAGGUGUAGCGGUGAAAUGCGUAGAUAUCUGGAGGAACACCGGUGGCGAAGGCGGCAUCCUGGACCAACACUGACGCUGAUGAGCGAAAGCCAGGGGAGCCAAAGCGGG
rnacentral:rRNA from 1 species